GCAGGGGUGGCAGAGCGGUCAAAUGCGAUAGACUCAAGAUCUAUUGGCCUAGCGCCUUCGAGGGUUCGAAUCCCUCCCCCUGCA
rnacentral:tRNA from 1 species